rnacentral:rRNA from 1 species
AUUGAACGCUGGCGGCAUGCCUUACACAUGCAAGUCGAACGGGCAGCACGGGAGCAAUCCUGGUGGCGAGUGGCGAACGGGUGAGUAAUAUAUCGGAACGUGCCCAGUCGUGGGGGAUAACGUAGCGAAAGCUACGCUAAUACCGCAUACGAUCUAUGGAUGAAAGCGGGGGAUCGCAAGACCUCGCGCGAUUGGAGCGGCCGAUAUCAGAUUAGGUAGUUGGUGAGGUAAAGGCUCACCAAGCCGACGAUCUGUAGCUGGUCUGAGAGGACGACCAGCCACACUGGGACUGAGACACGGCCCAGACUCCUACGGGAGGCAGCAGUGGGGAAUUUUGGACAAUGGGCGCAAGCCUGAUCCAGCAAUGCCGCGUGCAGGAUGAAGGCCUUCGGGUUGUAAACUGCUUUUGUACGGAACGAAACGGUGAGCUCUAAUACAGUUUGCUAAUGACGGUACCGUAAGAAUAAGCACCGGCUAACUACGUG